UGAGGAAUAUUGGUCAAUGGGCGAGAGCCUGANCCAGCCAAGUCGCGUGAAGGAUGACUGUCUUAUGGAUUGUAAACUUCUUUUAUACGGGAAUAACAAGAGCCACGUGUGGCUCCCUGCAUGUACCGUAUGAAUAAGCAUCGGCUAACUCCGUGCCAGCAGCCGCGGUAAUACGGAGGAUGCGAGCGUUAUCCGGAUUUAUUGGGUUUAAAGGGUGCGUAGGCGGCCUGUUAAGUCAGCGGUGAAAUCUAGGAGCUUAACUCNUAAAUUGCCAUUGAUACUGGCGGGCUUGAGUGUAGAUGAGGUAGGCGGAAUGCGUGGUGUAGCGGUGGAAUGCAUAGAUAUCACGCAGAACUCCGAUUGCGAAGGCAGCUUACUAAGGUACAACUGACGCUGAAGCACGAAAGCGUGGGUAUCAAACAGGAUUAGAUACCCUGGUAGUCCACGCGGUAAACGAUGAUAACUGGGCGUAUGCGAUAUACAGUAUGCUCCUAAGCGAAAGCGUUAAGUUAUCCACCUGGGGAGUACGCCGGCAACGGUG
rnacentral:rRNA from 1 species